rnacentral:rRNA from 1 species
CCCUUAGAUUUCCUGGGCCGCACGCGCGCUACACUGAGUGUCUGAGAUACGAGUCUGCCUGGUCCGGCAAGGUCUAGGUAAUCGCUAAAAGACACAUCAUGCUUGGGAUAGAUUAUUGCAAAUAUUAAUCUUGAACGAGGAAUUCCUAGUAAGCGCAAGUCAACAGCUUGCGUUGAUUACGUCCCUGCCCUUUGUACACACCGCCCGUCGCUACUACUGAUUGGAUGUUUAAGCGAGGUUCUCGAACUGCUAGCGACUUAGCUUCGGUGAGGUCGCAGUGUGGGAAGUGAACCUAGCUUUGGUGUCUAGAGGAAGUAAAAGUCGUAACA